GCCCUGGCCGUAAAGAAUUUUAAAAGUCAGAACUAGCAUCUUAUAUAGACCACGGUAAUCAGUUGGAAGCCAAUGCAGAUGCUGCAGCACUAGUGUUAUAUGGCAUUUCAUGGGUGUUCUUGUGAGUAGCCUGGCUGCCGCAUUCUGAACAAUACGGAGCUUCCGGGUCGUGGACAUCGGAAGGCCAACAUACAGGGCGUUGCAAUAGUCCAGCCUAGACAUGACCGUGGCAUGGAUGACUGUUGCCAGAGCCUCAUCAGAUAGAUAGGGUGCCAGUUGCCUCACUUGUCGUAGAUGGAAAAAGGCUUGUUUGCUAGCAGCAGCGAUCUGAGCUUCCAUUGUCAGCUGCAAAUCAAAAAAGGACACCCAGGCUCUUAACGGUAGGCGAAGGAGAUAGGGCAGCACCAUCAAAGGUGGGUAGCAAAUGGGUCAGACCAGUAGAGUGGCCAUGCCAAAGAAUCUCAGUCUUCACCGGGUUCACCUUCAGUCUACUAACAUGUAGCCAGUUCGACAGAGCCUCCAGACAUAAGGUGAAAUUGUCUGGUAUUGACGUUGCUCCAGGCUCCAAGCGCAGAAGGAGUUGGGUGUCAUCCGCAUAUUGAUAGCAAUCUAGGCCGAAACUCCGAGCCAAACUAGCAAGGGGUCUAACGUAGAUGUUGAAGAGAAGAGGGGAGAGAAUUGCACCUUGCGGUACCCCACAUAGGAGGGAAGAUCUGUUAGAGACUUGAUCCAUAUAUUCCAUGUAUUGGCUCCGGUUUCAGAGAAAUAAGUUGAACCAAUUGAGGGCCUGACCGCAAACUCCGGACAUGGCGAGAUGGUGAAUCAUUAGAUCGUAAUCAACGGUGUCAAACGCUGCGGUAUUCUGUGUAUUUAUUUAACUGUGUAGGCUUAGGCUAGCAUAUUGCAGCCAGCUAUCGGAGUCAUAGCUCGGUGAUGGUGUAGGCAGCCCACUGCAGUAGUUCUCAGGUGAAACUAUAUUUGAAUGGUUGUCUCAGAGUGUUGAACAAAUAUUCCUUUCUGAUGUAAAGUGGUUGGGGGAGAUAAGCCUAUUGUGUGUUCUUUCUCACUUGGGGGUAAAUCAUGAAACAGAAGACCAAGGUCACUGUGAAUGGCAGCAUAUGCUUGACAACAAAUGCUGCAUUACAUCUUACCUUCAAAUAUAUAUAGCUAUUUCAGAUUUUAAGCACAGAUUAUAUUUUCAGCAUCUUAAAAUGAAGAGGUGUGUAUGAGUGCUGCUUAUAUAUAGAUAUAUCUGUGUAUGGAAGGAGAGUGAGAGGGAUAGAAAGAACCAAUUUUCUCCUGUUAGACAACAUAGAGUUUCAGCGAUAUUAUGGCUGCACUCUGAUAUGUCAUUUAUUUGGAGCAAAUAGAGGGCGAUAUGCCAGUUGCCAUGGCAACAAGUUUCCCGCUGGAGCUGCAAAAAAGCUUUCGGCAUAUUUUGAAAUGACUUCCUCCCCAUUAUUGCCUGAGCUGCAAGAAAGGUGAUGCCUGCUGCAAUUAUAUACAAACGAAUGUGUUUAAUUUUACAAAUAGAGUUGCCUUUUUUGAGUUGUUUGUGACAUCUGGGAAAACUGAAACAGACUGAAGCAACCACAUGGACAAGAUAGAAGAGCCUGGAUAGUUAGCAGCCUGGUCAUGUCCCAUUUUCUUGAGUGUGUACUUAGCUAGAAGGUGUAAUUGAUGAGCAAUUUAUUGCAGGGAAACUCUUCUUUUCCUCAUGCUUGUUUGAAUCCUAUUCACCUGGUACUGUUCACUGAGAUAAUCACAUGUUUACUUUGAAUGGAUGGAUGAACCAGAUGGGUAACACAGUUGCCUAGACAGCAUUUGUUACACUGAGUUACACUCAAUCUAAAUAUGUAUCCUACUGAAUGGAGGAAUGAAGGAAGAGUUAAAGAGAAUCUGCAAUAUAUUGGGAGAGGAGAGGAGUGGGAAUAUUAUUUAUGGUAUCCUCAAGGUCUUUAGGAUUGCUGCAACAAUAAUUGUUCUCGCCAUUUCUUCCCUUCAGAUCGAGGCUGAAACUCUUCGAGUCAUACAUUUUGGCAGCCUAUUCAUUACAUUCUGGUCAACAAGUGUACGUGAAAUCCUGCAUGCCAGCCUCUGCAAAGAAGAGUACAAUGAUUUGCAUAAUUGCUGAAGAUUCUACGGCUGUAUGAAGCACUCUCUCUUCUUGUCUUAUAAUUAUUCUCUUCUAAUUAGUCAUCUUGAUUAUAAAACAUAGGCUUGCUUGUUACUAGAGUUGCUUGCAAAAUCUGGAUUGAACUGGAUUUUCCUGUCAGAGCAUAGGAGGUUGCUGGAGUUUAAAUGAUUCAUCUAGUUGAAAUCUCCAGGCACAGAAUGGAAUUGAAGAAACCUAGAGGGAAAAGGAGGAGAAGAGAUUCCACCUGGAUAUUAUGAUGAACUUCCUGAUAGUAAGAACUGCUCAGCAGUGCCAUGGAAUGUUCUGGACCCUUCUUUUUUUGUAGGUCCUUAGACAAACACUUGAUGGCUAUCUGUUGGGAGUGCUGAAAGCCGAAAGCUUAAUACUUGUAAUCUCUUAAGAUAAGUUUCUUUAAACUUACAAUAAAAUAUAAAUAAUAAGGAAUA